rnacentral:rRNA from 1 species
CACGUAGGGGGCAAGCGUUGUCCGGAUUUAUUGGGCGUAAAGAGCUCGUAGGCGGCUCGGUAAGUCGGGUGUGAAAACUCAGGGCUCAACCCUGAGACGCCACUCGAUACUGCUGUGGCUUGAGUCCGGUAGGGGAGCGUGGAAUUCCUGGUGUAGCGGUGAAAUGCGCAGAUAUCAGGAGGAACACCGGUGGCGAAGGCGGCGCUCUGGGCCGGUACUGACGCUGAGGAGCGAAAGCGUGGGGAGCAAACAGG